rnacentral:lncRNA from 1 species
GCAUAGUGUUUUCAAGUUCUAUCCAUGUGUGUAGCCUGCAUCAGUAUUUAAUUUUUAUUACCAAAUAAUACUUCAUUAUGUAGCUGUACUUAUACAUUUAUCCACUGGUGGACAUUCAGGUGUUACCUUGUGUUUUCCAUUUGGGGACUUAAAGAGUAAUGCUGCUUAUAUUGAUGUAAAGUCUGAACAUGUUUUCAUUUAGUGAAACAAAGCUGGUUCCCACUGUCUUCCAUUUACUUAAUAGCUCAUUUCCAGUAUACAACUGCUCCUGGAUAUCUGGUGGGAUUACAUCCUGAUAAGCCCAUUGUAAACUGAAAAUAGUGUAAGUAGGAAAUAUAUUUAAUAUACCUAACCUAAAUGUGUGUCUGAGCAAAAUUAUCUAAUACAAAGACUUAUAAAAUAUUCAAUAUACCAUGUACUUUAUUGAAUACACAUCCAGAAAACACUGAACAACAGCACACUAUAGAGGAGUAGUUGUUUACUAGGGUAUCAUACCACAAAUUGGUAGCCCAGAAAAAUUUCACAAUUUAAAAUUAGAAGUGUAGUUUCUACUGAAUGUGCUGUUUUUUAACACCAUCAUAGUUAGAACUUGUAGAGGAACCAUUUUAAAUCAGGGACAGGCUGUACAUGUAUAACAGUAUCAGAAUUUUCCCAUCCUCAGGUGGGAAGCAACUUUAUCAACUAGAAUACAUUGAAUGCUAUGUAUAGUUUCAAUUUUUAAUUUUACAGAUUCUGUUUCAAAAGUUACUUAGGUCAGUAUGCCCAGCUUCCAUUCACUUCAAUGUGGAAUUGUUUUUAUGUAUUUGUAAUAAAGUCAAGAUUACAAAGUGGAUCAAUAACCGAUACUUAACAUGUGUCCGUCAAAAGACACCAGAAGAGUUGGCUUUCAGCUAUAGCUAAGGGCCUGAGAAAGUUCUUACCAGCAGUAGGUUGAGAAUCCUCAAUGAUAUAUUUAACCAUUCUGUAUGAAUAACCAAUUCUUUCCUGUGAUCUACAAGUAGCAUAUGAACUUUUUUUUGUUUGCAAGGCACUCUGAUCAUUUAAAAAUCAAAUAUUACAGAACUAUGUAAAUUGGAAAAAUGAAUGCCACACACUACUACCUAAAUCUCAUAAGACUAUGGACACAAACAGUUGGUCUUUAUUUUUGGUAAAUUGGUCUUUUUAAAAAAAAAUGCAUAUAGAAUUCAUCUUUCAACCUGUUCCCUUUCCCAAUGGAAUCACUUUGACUAGUUCCUUAUAUGUGUGUUAUACAAAAUAAGAUAUAAUCACUAUUUUUAUAAGUUUUGGUCUUAUUUGACAUUUGCAUACUAAUACAUACAGAUUUCUCCUUUAAGUGAUCUUUUUUUCUCCAUGGUAUUAGGGAUUGAACCCAGAGCCAUGCACACUCUGGGCAUGUGUGCUACCACUGAGCUGCAUCCCCAUUUUUUUAAAAAAUAUUUUUAGUUGUAGAUGGACCCAAUACCUUUAUUUUUAUGUGGUGCUGAGGAUCAAACCCAUAUGCUAGGCAAGAGCUCUACCACUGGGCUACAACCCCAGCUCCCCCAGCCCUUUUUAAAUGAUCUUCUGUUGUAUGGCUGAACAACAAACUUCUAUUGAUAGACAUUUUAAUUGUUUCCAGUUAUUCCUUAUAAACAAUACAUUUUCAUAAACAGGUCUUUGUGCAUAAAACCAG